CAAAAUAAAUAAAUAAACAUUAAAAAAAGUAGGAUUUAUAGAGAAGGGUUUUUAAUUUUUUUCCACAACAUUCAGAGAAAGUGACCAUAUGGGAUGUAUUAAAACGGAAGGGCCUGGAUACCACUGAUUAACACAGUAACUGAUGUGUAAGUUGUCGUCAAUUUUAAUUACAUACUCGACCAUAUAUUCUGACUCUGAGAACUAAAAAUCACAAUGCAUAUGUUAUGAGCAAUUAUAUUUUGACCCAACAAAGGGUCGUAAAUGACAAAGCAAUCUGCUGAAAUAUGUAACUUCUUUUCUAUAAUCACUAGGUAUGAGGAGCUAGCUAAACUCAGGAUAUAGGACCAUUUAUUUCUGCUCUGUAGUUUAAUGUCUAGGUCACAAUGAACUGAAUCAAACCAGAGUAAACCCUUGAUCAAAAUAAAAUAUGUAACUGCCUGUUGGAAUAGACUGCUCCCUUCCACAUGCUUCCCUUGAAUUUCAGGAAUGUUCUUAGGCAAGACUGGGCCACCCCAGAGAAGGGUUAUGAAAAAGUCGACACAGAGUCUAUGGACUGUGAGGUAAGUUGGAUUAAUUCAAGAACAAACCUUCUGAGCUCAGUUGAUUCGAGAACGAUCACCCACUGGAGAGUUGCGCUGCGCAAGAAAGACUUCUUCACAUUGCCCCAGUACUCUGCUUUGAAGAUAUGAACGUUCAAGUGGUGCUGCCCCUGCUGCCUUGGGGACCACACCUUGAGGAUCACUGCACUGAGUUGAAUUUCAGAAGGUUACGAGACAGGUGAGUCAGUAGGGGGUUGGUGGCGGGUCUACUCACCUAUUCUCAGUGUUCGGGUUCUGAGCGGUGAACCUUAUUAUUUUCUUGGUCAGGUUUAUUCCUAGAUAUUUUAUUCUUUUUGGUAAUUUGGCAAUUGUACGUGGGAUUGUUUUCUUAAUUUCUCUCUCUGUGACUUUGUUAUUAGUGUGUAAAGAUGCAAUCGAUUUCUGCAGGUUAAUUUUUUAUCCUGUAACUUCACUGAGUUUAUUUAUCAGUUUCCUCUAGUUUUUGGAUGGAGUCUUCAGGGUUUUCUCUAUGUGGCAUCACGGCAUCUGCCCAUACUGAAAGCUUUUGUCCUUCCUUACCGAUUUGGAUGCCUCUGCUUUCUUUUUCUUGUCUGAUAUCUAUGGAGAGGAUUCUAGUAUUGUGUUGACUAGCAGCGGUGAGAAGAGCCUUGUCUUGUUCCUGAUCUUAGAGGAAAAACUCUCAGAUUUUCACCGUGGAGCAUGAUGUUAGCUGUGGAUUUUUCAUUAUGUGGUCUUCAUUACGUGGAGGUAUGUUCCCUCUAAGCCUCCUUUGUGGAGAGUUUUUGUCAUGAAUGGAUGUUAAAGUAAACCUUUAAAUCAAUGUAUUAUGUAAUACAUUGUUCUUAUUUCAAUGUUCUUCCGCUAUGAGUGAAGAAUAUGAUUAUUCUCAACCGUCAGAACUUCCAUCCCUGGUAUGGAUCCCAAGGGCAGGAGGACCCCCACUUAGAUGCUGCUUAGCAUUUGCACGCUUCUCUCCAACUGGGUCACGUGCCGCUACACAGAUUUGAGGUCAACUCUGACAACAUUGUUUUUCUAAGCAAAGGAGCAAAAACACGAGCGUGACUCAGAUUAUAAAAUGUUGAUUUUGAAGACCUCCGGCUCUUACUGUUUUUGUAAUUUAAAGAAAUCUAAUCCUCUCAAACUGCCCUGCUGUGCUGUCCCCUGACGUCAUGUUUGUCUGGGCUUUGGAUUCAACGUUAAGAUCAUGGUUUAAAACAAAAAGAGAACGGCCCUUUUAAAAGUCAGAGUUUCUUUUAGACCCAGGCUGAGGACCGGCCAGCCACUGGGGGUGUGGAUGUACAUCCCUGUGCAUGCGUGGAUGGCGUGCACAUGUCUGCCAAGGCACGUGUGCAAGCAGGACUGGAGACCUCUGGUGUGACCCAACUCACAAAGCAUCCCAAUACAUUACUGUUCAAGAUUCCUGAAGGAUAGGGCACAUGGGUGGCUCGGUUGGUUAAGCCUCCGACUUGGGCUCAGGCCAUAAUCUCUCGUUCCUGGGUUGGAGCCCCGCAUUGAGCUCUGUUCUGACAGCUCAGAGCCUGGAGCCUGCUUUGGAUUCUGUGUCUCCCUUCCUCUCUGCCUCUCUCUCUCUCUCUCUCUCCCCCCAAUAAACAUUUUAAAAAGAUUUAAAAAAUAUAUUCCUGAGGAUCAGCUUGGCAGAUGGGCUAGAGACACAGGAAAGAAUUUUAGAAUUUAAGAAUUCCUGCCAAUUAUGUUCAAAUGUUAUUUAAUAAACUCAAACUCCAAGACAACAGUUUCAUUCACUUGUUGAUUUCCAAUGCACCCCAGUAAUAGCAGGCUUAUUGCAGUGGUUUCUAAAUAAGAACCUCUUUGGUUUUCUGAGACAAACUGGAAGCUAUUACAAUACUUUGCAUUUGAACCAUUAAAAAAAAUCAGUAUGAGUACUGGGUCUAUUUCACUUACGAAUACUAUACUAUUUUAUUUAUUCAGCAGACUUACCAUCAGAUCCCAAUUUAGUAGUGCAGAGAACACUUCAUUUCAAUGUAUUUAGUCUGUCUCUGUGUAAGUUGGUAGUUUAUAGAACUGAAAAGAUCCUGACACAUACACCUGCCUGGGAGAGAACAGAUUUUUA